UUACGGCCGUAUCACGUUGAAACACUGGUUCCCGUAAGAUCAUCGAAGUUAAGCAAUCUCGAUCUUGUUCAGUACCUUAUGGAUGAUAGCUUGGGAAUAUUAGGUCCUGUAA